AACAAGGAUUCCCCUAGUAACUGCGAGUGAAGCGGGAAAAGCUCAAAUUUAAAAUCUAAUGGUCCUUGGCCAUUCGAGUUGUAAUUUAGAGAAGCGUCUUCCGCGCCAGACCAUGUACAAGUCUCCUGGAACGGAGCGUCGUAGAGGGUGAGAAUCCCGUCUUUGACAUGGACCCUUGGUGCUUCUGUGAUGCGCUCUCAAAGAGUCGAGUUGUUUGGGAAUGCAGCUCAAAAUGGGUGGUGAACUCCAUCUAAGGCUAAAUAUUGGCGAGAGACCGAUAGCGAACAAGUACCGUGAGGGAAAGAUGAAAAGCACUUUGGAAAGAGAGUGAAACAGUACGUGAAAUUGUUGAAAGGGAAACACUUGAAGUCAGUCGCGUCGAUCGAGACUCAGCCUCGCCUUGGCUUGGCGUACUUCUCGACUUGACGGGCCAGCAUCAAUUUCGUCCCUCGGAUAAUGGCAGGGGAAAGGUGGCACCUUCACGGGUGUGUUAUAGUCUCUUGUCGCAUGCGAGGGGUGGGAUUGAGGAACUCAGCACGCGCCUCGCGGCGUCGGGGCUUCGGCCCACGUUACGUGCUCAGGAUGCCGGCGUAAUGGCUUUAAAUGACCCGUCUUGAAACACGGACCAAGGAGUCUAACAUGCCUGCGAGUGUUCGGGUGGAAAACCCGUGUGCGUAAUGAAAGUAAAAGUUGGGACCUCUGUCGUGGAGGGCACCGACGCCCGGACCAGACCUUCUGUGACGGAUCUGCGGUAGAGCAUGCAUGUUGGGACCCGAAAGAUGGUGAACUAUGCCUGAAUAGGGUGAAGCCAGAGGAAACUCUGGUGGAGGCUCGUAGCGAUUCUGACGUGCAAAUCGAUCGUCAAAUUUGGGUAUAGGGGCGAAAGACUAAUCGAACCAUCUAGUAGCUGGUUCCCG
rnacentral:rRNA from 1 species